rnacentral:tRNA from 1 species
UCCCUGGUGGUCCAGUGGUUAAGACGCCACGCUUCACUACGAGGAGCACAGGUUCGAUCCCUGGUCAGGGAA